AUGAGUAGUCAUGUACCUAACAAUGAGUUUAAAGGCUCAAUGCAACUUAUGAAGAAGUUAAAGAGCCACAAUAAUUAUACAUGCAAGUAAGCAGUGAGCAAUAACAACUGCUGAACGACGUGCUUUCUUUUAGGAGUAGAUGUGUAACUAAUAAUGAGUUUAGUGGCACAACGAAGUUUAGGAAGUUGUGCAGAUUAUUAAUUGUAGUUAUUGGUUGAUGUGUGGUCUUUAAGGGCCGUUUGUUUUCAGAGAAAGUGGAAGGAUGGAAGCCUAUGAGAUGGAAAGUUUCUUGAAAUGUGGUUCUUCCAUCGUUUGGUUUCCAUAGAUUGAGGAAGGAAAGAUUGAUUUGAGUGGGCCCCAUGCUCAAAAAGCUUUCCUCAGGGUUACGAGAAGAAAGUUAGAAACUUACAUCUUUUUAAGCAAAAUGACAUAUAUACCUCUGUUUUGUAGACAUAUUUGCUAGGGAGAUAAAUAUUUCAUUUUUAACGUUUGCGUUUCUUUUAUUUGAAAUAAUCUAACAUUUUUACUUCCUUUA
rnacentral:lncRNA from 1 species